UUCCUACGGGGCGCAGCAGUGGGGGAUAUUGCACAAUGGGGGGAACCCUGAUGCAGCGACGCCGCGUGGGUGAAGGAGCGUUUCGGCGCGUAAAGCCCUAUCGGCAGGGAAGAAGAUGACGGUACCUGACCAAGAAGCCCCGGCUAACUACGUGCCAGCAGCCGCGGUAAUACGUAGGUGGCAAGCGUUAUCCGGAUUUAUUGGGUGUAAAGGGCGUGUAGGCGGGAUUGGAAGGCAGAU
rnacentral:rRNA from 1 species